ensembl:ncRNA F40F9.15 ncRNA
AAAAACGGAGAAUAGGAGCAGAAAGGCGCUGGCCGAUCACACGCAGACCUCGCGUUCUUCCCUCCUUUAUAUACAGCGGACAAAUCGGUGAUUCGCAGGUCUGCGCGACUACGGUACCCGCUGCUUGUUCUGCGUCUCCACGUGUCGUUUCACUACCUUUUCCCCCUUUUAUUUAGCGUGCGCCCGCGCCGCGCCGAUGUUUGAGAGUCUUUGAUGCAGCUGUACGGGCCGAGAUGAGAGGGAAGAGAAGAUGAGAGAAGCAGAGAGUUGAGGGAAAGAACAUAGACUCCUCCUCCG